GUGCCCUCGUAGGGUGAAUACUGAAAUCCUUGCCUCAUAAGAAAUUGCUACAUCCACUCAGCCAGCACCGUUAGGCACAAAGCUACAAGCGAGAGAUAAAGGGAAGAAUAAAGCCGGAAGAGAAGACAAUGAAUGUUCUUCUUUGCACUGCCACUGCUGCCAUGCUUUUCAUCAUGGCUGGGGCUCAGACUGCUAGCAUGCCUUUUGAGAAAGAGUUAGGUGCCACUCCCGAAGCCUUGCCUUUGGCUAUCUGGCUAAUAAAAAAGACUACCAAGUUGUAUAAAACGCUGUGUAAUCUGCGAGGCACAUGUGAUACCGAUUGGAGUCAUCUGCCUCAGGAACAUUUGCUUAUCCCAGAGAUCCAUAGCGAAAGUAAAUGCUCCCCCUCUACAUUUGAAAAGGAAGGAUGCCUGGAACUCCUUGCAGAGGGACUUUUUUCAUUUAGGAUAUUUUUGGAAUACCUGCAGGAAACUUUAUUUCCCAAGAAACCGGAGUUAACUCAGUACUUGUGGCCAGCAACAGAGUUUCUGGCCAAUAACUUGAAGUCACAGCUGCAGAAUCCUGAGUGCAUGCAACCUAUACCUGACGCCAUUGACGAUGAUCUUGUUCAUAAGAUAGCAAUGUAUACUGGUUGGACACCUGCAAUUCUCAGGCACACCAUACUUAGAAGGUACCUGAAGUUUAUGGAUACAGCUGCAAGUGCAAUUCGGUCUAUAAACACAUCACAGAUAACAGUAAAUGAUGUGCAUCAACUGGCAUUUAGAAGAGGACAACCAUUUGGACAAAAAAAAAUGACCUUGAGUUUACCAGGAAAAAAAUGUUUGAGAAGCCGCACUGCAGCCCACAGCUGACCACAUCCUAAUCUCCCCAGUGGGCCAAGAUUGAGAGGUGGAAAGGAGUACAGGUCAUCAGUUAGAACCCAUUUAAAGUCUCUGCAGCCAUAAAACACACCUAAAAGUGGAUAAUUUGUGGAGAAAACCUUGAAGAUGCCUAGAAUACUUGCUCAACUGAAGAGAAAGCAGCAGGUGUUUAAAGUGCUUUGAAUGCAAACUUCAGUCACUGGAAAGAAAGAAAAACAGAGCCUCGCAGAGAAAACUGGCAAAACCACUUUUCCAGUGCUUCCUAAUGGAAGCACUUGACUAACUUUAAGUUAGCUUCAGAACCAAACAAAAUAUAGAAAUAUUGUUAUACUUGAGCUACAAAUGGCAACUGCAUGUUUAUUUAUUCUAUGUCCCAUUAAGUCAUCAGAACCCCAAGCAGGUUACAGAAAACAUCCAUUGUGUACCAAUAAAAGAGAAAUUAAAAAGAAGUUUUCAAAAUGUUAAAACCAGCAGUUUCGAAAACAAGAAAGCACAGCAUAUUGUUCUACCUGGAACAGGUGAUAUUUAGCUAAGAGACGAAACAGCAGUCAUUCAUUUAUUAUGGUAGGUCCUAUGGCCUGCCCAUGCUGAUUUCUAAAUUCAGAGAAACAACCAGCAAAUAACUAUUUCCCUCUUUUUUACAGUCUCAAGAGACAGGACUGAUCCAUUUUGUGAUUCAAAUCACUCUUGAAAAACUGGUAUAUAUACUGCCUAGUUUCAAAAAUCAGAGAAAAACUUAUAAAAAUAGGAAAUUAUCAAUGCACAACAUGAAGAUUAUAAAGAAUUGCUUCUCCACAGAACCAUGUCUCAAGAUUUAUGAUGAUUAUGAAUAACUUUUGUAGGUAAAAGAAUAAGAGGGAGAGAAAAAUAAGGUUAAUUUGGAUGAAGAGUGUCACAGGUAUAGGCUUAUAUGAUAAGAUUGUUAUAAUGUCUCCUAGGAUAUUAUUGCGAAGGGCAGGAA